UACGUAGGGUGCAAGCGUUAAUCGGAAUUACUGGGCGUAAAGCGUGCGCAGGCGGUUAUGUAAGACAGAUGUGAAAUCCCCGGGCUCAACCUGGGAACUGCGUUUGUGACUGUAUGACUAGAGUACGGUAGAGAGGGGUGGAAUUCCUGGUGUAGCAGUGAAAUGCGUAGAUAUCAGGAAGAACACCCGUGGCGAAGGCGGCUCUCUGGGACGGUACUGACGCUGAGACGCGAAAGCGUGGGGAGCGAACAGG
rnacentral:rRNA from 1 species